rnacentral:rRNA from 1 species
GAUGAACGCUGGCGGCGUGCCUAAUACAUGCAAGUCGAGCGAACGGACGAGAAGCUUGCUUCUCUGAUGUUAGCGGCGGACGGGUGAGUAACACGUGGAUAACCUACCUAUAAGACUGGGAUAACUUCGGGAAACCGGAGCUAAUACCGGAUAAUAUUUUGAACCGCAUGGUUCAAAAGUAAAAGACGGUCUUGCUGUCACUUAUAGAUGGAUCCGCGCUGCAUUAGCUAGUUGGUAAGGUAACGGCUUACCAAGGCAACGAUGCAUAGCCGACCUGAGAGGGUGAUCGGCCACACUGGAACUGAGACACGGUCCAGACUCCUACGGGAGGCAGCAGUAGGGAAUCUUCCGCAAUGGGCGAAAGCCUGACGGAGCAACGCCGCGUGAGUGAUGAAGGUCUUCGGAUCGUAAAACUCUGUUAUUAGGGAAGGACAUAUGUGUAAGUAACUGUGCACAUCUUGACGGUACCUAAUCAGAAAGCCACGGCUAACUACGUG